rnacentral:siRNA from 1 species
CAAGUCUUGUAGAGUAGGUUGC